CUACGGGUCGCUCCAGUGGGGAAUAUUGGACAAUGGGCGCAAGCCUGAUCCAGCAAUGCCGCGUGAGUGAAGACGGCCUUAGGGUUGUAAAACUCUUUCGCUAGGGAAGAUAGUGACUGUACCUAGUAAAGAAGUCCCGGCUAACUCCGUGCCAGCAGCCGCGGUAAUACGGAGGGGACUAGCGUUGUUCGGAAUUACUGGGCGUAAAGAGUUCGUAGGCGGACUGACAAGUUAGAGGUGAAAUCCCAGGGCUCAACCCUGGAACUGCCUUUAAAACUGUCAGUCUAGAGACCGGAAGAGGUUAGGGGAAUACCUAGUGUAGAGGUGAAAUUCGUAGAUAUUAGGUGGAACACCAGUGGCGAAGGCGCCUAACUGGUCCGGUACUGACGCUGAGGAACGAAAGCGUGGGGAGCAAACAGGAUUAGAAUACCCUCGUAGUC
rnacentral:rRNA from 1 species